GGCUCAAAUAUGUAAAAACAUCUAUAUCAUGACAACAAACACUAAUUUACAACUAAUAGAAUACAAAACCCUCCACAGAAUUCACUACACAAGAGACAAAAUGUCAAGAAUGGGAUUUGAAUCAGAGAUCUGCCCAUAUGUCCCUCACACUGUAAACCCGAAUAGUCCAAUGAGCUCAAAAGUUUUAUAAUCACUGAACUCAAAAGUAACAAACAAGUUGAGUCAGCUUAAAACCUAUAAGCCGAUUGAACUUUUGCCACAGUUAUAUCUUUAUUGGACUAAAACAUUUUGAGUAAAUGAAACCUUGGAGUCAAAACUUAUGAGUAAUGAGACGUGAUGACGUCGUAACGUACACCCAUGAACGUGAACUCAGCCACAGAAGUCUUCAAGAUGGCGGAGGUCUGAUGCGAGUGUCAGCUGGCCCAAGUUGAUAACGCACAUACGUCUAGAUGUGAGCUGAGUUUCAUCGCAUCACAAAUGUCAAACUGUUAAAACAGUUUUAUUUUGACCUGGACAGACAGACGCAGAGGAUGCUGAUCUUUUUGAGACAGAAGGCAGCACGAACCGGAAGGCUCUAUGCGACUUUCUGCACCUCUAUGAUAAACAGCAAGAGCAGACUGCUGAUGUCAAAGGUACUCCUGUCCUGCACUGGCUUCCCAUAUACAAACGUGAGGAGGACCCACAGUUCUUCAAAGUUUGGAAUAUUAAAGAGUCACUAGAGGCAGACAUCAGCUGCUCCUCUGUUGGCAUUCUGACCGUCAGCAACAACAAUACAAGUUCAGUUCAUUUCUGUCCGCUCAGUACAGCAGUUGUGGUGGAAGAUGAGCUUGUGGUAGGCAAAUUUCCUAAAUGGGUAUUUUUUUGAGCGCUAAUGUUUAUAGGGAAAUGGCAGCCUAAGAAAAUACUGUUUUAUGUGGGAAAAGUAUAAAAAAAAAAAA